AGAGUUUGAUCMUGGCUCAGGAUGAACGCUAGCUACAGGCUUAACACAUGCAAGUCGAGGGGCAGCAUCAUCAAAGCUUGCUUUGAUGGAUGGCGACCGGCGCACGGGUGAGUAACACGUAUCCAACCUGCCGACAACACUGGGAUAGCCUUUCGAAAGAAAGAUUAAUACCGGAUGGCAUAGUUUUCCCGCAUGGGAUAAUUAUUAAAGAAUUUCGGUUGUCGAUGGGGAUGCGUUCCAUUAGGCAGUUGGCGGGGUAACGGCCCACCAAACCAACGAUGGAUAGGGGUUCUGAGAGGAAGGUCCCCCACAUUGGAACUGAGACACGGUCCAAACUCCUACGGGAGGCAGCAGUGAGGAAUAUUGGUCAAUGGACGAGAGUCUGAACCAGCCAAGUAGCGUGAAGGAUGACUGCCCUAUGGGUUGUAAACUUCUUUUAUACGGGAAUAAAGUUAGCCACGUGUGGCUUUUUGUAUGUACCGUAUGAAUAAGGAUCGGCUAACUCCGUGCCAGCAGCCGCGGUAAUACGGAGGAUCCGAGCGUUAUCCGGAUUUAUUGGGUUUAAAGGGAGCGUAGGCGGGUUGUUAAGUCAGUUGUGAAAGUUUGCGGCUCAACCGUAAAAUUGCAGUUGAUACUGGCGACCUUGAGUGCAACAGAGGUAGGCGGAAUUCGUGGUGUAGCGGUGAAAUGCUUAGAUAUCACGAAGAACUCCGAUUGCGAAGGCAGCUUACUGGAUUGUAACUGACGCUGAUGCUCGAAAGUGUGGGUAUCAAACAGGAUUAGAUACCCUGGUAGUCCACACAGUAAACGAUGAAUACUCGCUGUUGGCGAUAUACAGUCAGCGGCCAAGCGAAAGCAUUAAGUAUUCCACCUGGGGAGUACGCCGGCAACGGUGAAACUCAAAGGAAUUGACGGGGGCCCGCACAAGCGGAGGAACAUGUGGUUUAAUUCGAUGAUACGCGAGGAACCUUACCCGGGCUUAAAUUGCAACUGACUGAACCGGAAACGGUUCUUUCUUCGGACAGUUGUGAAGGUGCUGCAUGGUUGUCGUCAGCUCGUGCCGUGAGGUGUCGGCUUAAGUGCCAUAACGAGCGCAACCCUUAUCGAUAGUUACUAGCAGGUCAUGCUGAGGACUCUAUUGAGACUGCCGUCGUAAGAUGUGAGGAAGGUGGGGAUGACGUCAAAUCAGCACGGCCCUUACGUCCGGGGCUACACACGUGUUACAAUGGGGGGUACAGAAGGCAGCUACACGGCGACGUGGUGCUAAUCCCGAAAGCCUCUCUCAGUUCGGAUUGGAGUCUGCAACCCGACUCCAUGAAGCUGGAUUCGCUAGUAAUCGCGCAUCAGCCACGGCGCGGUGAAUACGUUCCCGGGCCUUGUACACACCGCCGUCAAGCCAUGAAAGCCGGGGGUACCUGAAGUACGUAACCGCGAGGAGCGUCCUAGGGUAAAACUGGUGAA
rnacentral:rRNA from 1 species